CUGCUCGCUUCAUUAGCACAUAUGCUAAAAUUGGAACGAUAUAGAGAAGAUUAGCAUGGCCUCUGUGCUAGGAUGACACUCAAAUUCUUGAAGCGUUUUAUAUUUAA